UACGGGGGGGGCAAGCGUUGUUCGGAAUUACUGGGCGUAAAGGGCGCGUAGGCGGCCUUCUAAGUCGAACGUGAAAUCCCCGGGCUCAACCCGGGAACUGCGUCCGAUACUGGAAGGCUUGAAUCCGGGAGAGGGAUGUGGAAUUCCAGGUGUAGCGGUGAAAUGCGUAGAGAUCAGGAGGAACACCAAUGGCGAAGGCAGCUCUCUGGCUUCACCCUGACGCUGAGGCGCGAAAGCGUGGGGAGCGAACGGG
rnacentral:rRNA from 1 species